rnacentral:rRNA from 1 species
GCUUGCUGGGCGGAUUAGUGGCGAACGGGUGAGUAAUACGUGAGUAACCUGCCCUUGACUCUGGGAUAAGCCUGGGAAACUGGGUCUAAUACUGGAUACUACCUCUUACCGCAUGGUGGGUGGUGGAAAGGGUUUUACUGGUUUUGGAUGGGCUCACGGCCUAUCAGCUUGUUGGUGGGGUAAUGGCUCACCAAGGCGACGACGGGUAGCCGGCCUGAGAGGGUGACCGGCCACACUGGGACUGAGACACGGCCCAGACUCCUACGGGAGGCAGCAGUGGGGAAUAUUGCACAAUGGGCGGAAGCCUGAUGCAGCGACGCCGCGUGAGGGAUGACGGCCUUCGGGUUGUAAACCUCUUUCAGUAGGGAAGAAGCGAGAGUGACGGUACCUGCAGAAGAAGCGCCGGCUAACUACGUGCCAGCAGCCGCGGUAAUACGUAGGGCGCAAGCGUUGUCCGGAAUUAUUGGGCGUAAAGAGCUCGUAGGCGGUUUGUCGCGUCUGCUGUGAAAGCCCGGGGCUCAACCCCGGGUCUGCAGUGGGUACGGGCAGACUAGAGUGCAGUAGGGGAGACUGGAAUUCCUGGUGUAGCGGUGAAAUGCGCAGAUAUCAGGAGGAACACCGAUGGCGAAGGCAGGUCUCUGGGCUGUUACUGACGCUGAG